GGCAAGUCUGGUGCCAGCAGCCGCGGUAAUUCCAGCUCCAAUAGCGUAUAUUAAAGUUGUUGCAGUUAAAAGCUCGUAGUUGGAUUUCUGGGAGGGUGCCAAUGUCCGCUCGAUUGCGUGUGCAGCGGCGCCCUUCCAUCCUUCUGUUAACGUUUCUUGGUAUUCAUUUACUGGUUUCGGGCUCAGAUAUUUUACCUUGAGAAAUUAGAGUGUUCCAGGCAGGCUUGCGCCGGAAUACAUUAGCAUGGAAUAACAAGAUAUGGAAGAUGGAAGAUCUUGUUGGUUUAAUCCAUUUUUAAUGAUUAAUAGGAUCAGUUGGGGCAUUAGUAUUCAAUAGUCAGAGGUGAAAUUCUUGGAUUUAUUGAAGACUAACGAGAGCGAAAGCAUUUGCCAAGGAUGAAUUCAUUAAUCAAGAACGAAGUUAGGGGAUCGAAGAUGAUUAGAUACCGU
rnacentral:rRNA from 1 species